rnacentral:rRNA from 1 species
AGAGUUUGAUCCUGGCUCAGGACGAACGCUGGCGGCGUGCUUAACGCAUGCAAGUCGAACGAUGAACCACUUCGGGGUGGAUUAGUGGCGAACAGGUGAGUAACACGUGGGCAAUCUGCCCUGCACUCUGGGACAAGCCCUGGAAACGGGGUCUAAUACCGGAUACUGAUGCUGACCGCAAUCCUUGGUGAUCGAAAGCUCCGGCGGUGCAGGAUGAGCCCGCGGCCUAUCAGCUUGUUGUGGGGUGAUGGCCUACCAAGGCGACGACGGGUAGCCGGCCUGAGAGGGCGACCGGCCACAACUGGGACUGAGACACGGCCCAGACUCCUACGGGAGGCAGCAGUGGGGAAUAUUGCACAAUGGGCGAAAGCUGAUGCAGCCGACGCCGCGGAGGGAUGACGGCCUUCGGGGUUGUAAACCCUAACAGCAGCGAUGAAGCGUGAGUGACCGAACCUGCACAAGAUGCCCCGGCUAACUACGUGCCAGCAGCGGCGGUAAUUCGUAGGGCGCGAGCGUUGUCCGCAAUUAUUGGGCGUAAACAGCACGUAGGAGGCUUGUCGCGUCGGAUGUGAAAGCCCGGGGCUUAACUCCCGGUCUGCUUUCGAUACGGGCAGGCUAGAGUUCGGUAGGGGAGAUCGGAAUUCCUGGUGUAGCGGUGAACUGCGCAGAAAUCACCAGGAACACCGGUGGGGAAGACGGAACUCUGGCCCGAUACUGACGCUGAGGAGCGAAAGCGUGGGAAGCGAACAGGAUUAGAUACCCUGGUAGUCCACGCCGUAAUCGUUCCGAACUAGGUGUGGCCGACAUUCCACGUUGUCCGUGCCGCAGCUUUCGCAUUUUGAACCGGGCCUGGGGAGUACCCCCGCAAGGCUAAAACUCAAAGGAAUUCACCCGGGCCCGCACUUGCGGCGGAGCAUGUGCGUUAAUUCGACGCAACGCGAAGAACCUUAAACCGGCUUGACAUACACCGGAAACUGGCAGAGAUGUCAGCCCCCUUGUGGUCGGUGUACAGGUGGUGCAACGCAGUCUGCAGCUCGUGUCGUGAGAUGUGUGGUUAAGUCCCGCAACGACGGCAACCCAAGUUCUGUGUCCAUGGCGGGUUAUGCCGGGAGCUCACAAAAGACUGCCGGCCUCAACUCGGAGCAAGGUGGGGACGACGUCUAGUCAUCAUGGGGGUUAUGUCUUGGGCUCGACACGUGCUACAAUGGCCGGUACAAUGAGCUGCGAUGCCGUGAGGUGGAGCGAAUCUCAAAAAGCCGGCUCCAGUUCGGAUUGGGGCUUGCAACUCGUCCCCAAGAAGUCGGGGUCGCUAGAAAUCGCAGAUCAGCAUUGCUGCGGUGAAUACGUUCCCGGGCCUUGUACACACCGCCCGUCACGUCACGAAAGUCGGUAACAGGGGAAGCCGGUGGCGGAACCCUUUGUGGGUGGGAGUCGUCGAAGCAGGCACUGGCGAUUGGGAGGUUGUCGUAACAAGGUUACCGUAUUCCUCAAC